ACAAGACACAGCCCUCCUGAUGAGGAACGGAAGUGGCCCUUUUCUCACAGAAGCAGACCGAAGGGCUUUCAUGUUUGUCUUCCUCUCUGUGACUAUAGUUACUGCUGGGAUGGAGCCAGAAGCCACUUGGGAAUGUUCAUCUCCUGACUCAGGAGAACUGGCACUGGACUGAUGGGCUGCCUGCUUCCUUGCUGGAGCUUCCACAUGGUUUCUGAUUUGAAAUGGAAGUGGUCCAUUCCUAAUUGAAGUCGUCACUAUCUUACUUUCCGACUGGCUAGUAUUUCCUGGAGUGCUGGCUGAUUUUCUCGGUCACAUCCUCCAAUGUACCUUUGGCUUCACUCAUUGAUUUAUUCUUUCAGUUGUGGAGUGCUCAGGUUAGAUUGGGCAGCAGGCAUGCAUAGGAAUAAGCUAAGCUAAAGUGGUUCCCAAACCUGAAUGAGCAUCCAGGAAAUAAAAUAAGUCAAGCUGCUGUGCCCUACUUCAUGUCUUCUGAAACUGAAUCCUGAGCUUGAGGCCUGAUUAUCUGGUAUUAUCUUAAAACUGCUGAUGAGAGUCUAAUAAUGAUCAACCAGAUCACUUGGGACGCAAAUCAUUGGCCACCCAAGAAGAAACUCAAAACCACUCCCUUAGUCCCACUUCUUUCCAGCUGCCUAACUGUGGACACCACACCUGGAAUCCUGGAAAGAGCUGGCCAAAGAACGUGCCUGCUUACUCAGUCUUCCCACAGGCCUAGGUGUCUCCGAUCCCUGCAUCAUCCAGUCCAAACAGAGGAAUCAAUCAGAA